GGGGAUAUAGCUCAGUUGGCAAAGUGCUUGCCUCACAUACACAAGGCCCUGGGAUCCAUCCCCAGCAUCCCCC
rfam:Ictidomys tridecemlineatus contig040441, whole genome shotgun sequence.